CGUAAAGCGUGCGCAGGCGGUUUGUUAAGAUAGGCGUGAAAUCCCCGGGCUCAACCUGGGAACUGCGUUUAUGACUGGCAGGCUAGAGUAUGGCAGAGGGGGGUGGAAUUCCACGUGUAGCAGUGAAAUGCGUAGAGAUGUGGAGGAACACCGAUGGCGAAGGCCACGCCCUGGGCCAAUACUGACGCUCAUGCACGAAAGCGUGGGUAGCAAACAGGAUUAGAUACCCUGGUAGUCCACGCCCUAAACGAUGUCAACUAGGUGUUGGGUGGGUAAAACCAUUUAGUACCGGCUCA
rnacentral:rRNA from 1 species